CCUUUAACUACAGGCCGCGGCCAUCGAACUGGCAACGUCGCAAGUGGUGCUGUGUCACGUGACUGUGUUGUUUACGUUUUGUUUGGAUUGGAAGCAGCCGACGCCGACACGCACUUCUUUUAAUAUUUACACACUUUGCACUUGCAGAGUUGCAGACAAGUAAGUUAACAAGUUGAAUUGCUGAAGGACAUCCAACAGUAGGCCUAUGUCUACUAGGAGGAUGGUGGUUGACCUGCUCGCCACAAAGUUUUUUUUUCAUUGGGGGACCGAGCAAGGCAGAUUUUAGAAAGGCUAAACCAAACAAGUGCAUCUGUUGGUUGGAUUGCUGAGCAGCAUGGGUGAAAGAUUUCUACAACAGUACAUCUACAGUAGAUGUAACUAAUAACUAGGAGGAUGGUGCUUGAACUAAUUGCUACAACAUUUUUCCAUUCCGAAAAAAAUAUGGGGACCGAGCAAGGCUAAACCAAAAAAAUGCAAAUGUUGAUAAUAAAACCUGCCGUUGGAAUGGAUCAAGUUGAUGAGAUUCCUUUGUUAAAAGAAGUUUCUUAGUUUGUAAAAGUGAUUAACUUUUGAAAUUUAUGUAAAUAAAAAUGAGUUUAUCAAAUAA